GCAGAGAGUUCUUUCUUGAAAGCAGCUUUGUUUGAAAGACAAAUACUAGGAAGGAAAAGUAUUGGUAAAGUCUCAUCAGGAGGCAAGCUCUGUUCUCUGGGUGGGCAGCCAUCUACCAGUUAGUUCUCAGAAUGUUUAGGAUGCUGGUUUUCUCCAAACUGGAGCUAAAGGAAAGUCAUCUGACUCAGGGAUAUCAAUUAGGCCAGGGGGGCCAAAGCCCUGUGGGAUUAGGAUGAGAGCCCUAAGACCUUGGUAUGGCUCAUUUCCUUACCCGUCAACCCACUGGCAUCCAGCUAGCAAAUAGCAUUUAAUUCAAUUCAAAAAAUAUAUAUUAAACAGCUACUAUGUAUUGGCACAAUUUGUCUUCCUGGGAUACAAGAUGAAGGAGACCAAGUCCUCCAAGAAGCUGACAGCCUCUCUAACAUGGAAGAAAAACAAGUAAACAGGUCAUUUAAAGUAUACGAUAAGAAGUGUUAAUCAUUGGAAAGUUCUAUACACCAAACCAUCCAUCAGUGUUCUGGAGUCUGCCUUCUGGAGAGACAUAGUCCUGUGUAACGUGAAGGCUGAAUUGACAGCCCAGUCUCUGGCCAAGACAAGUGGACUUCACCACAAGUUCAUUAGCUAUAGAUGUUGGCAGCAGACAGCAGCAGAAAACACAAGGAUGGGACUGAGAGCCAACCCUAGCUCACUGGAUCCAGCCAGCACACUAAGAAAGCAGCACAGGAUGUUGGCUAAAGCCAUCAGGCAGAGUUCUCCAGAAGCAGAUGCUGAGAUGGAGCUCAGAGUGUGAGCUGUUUAUUAGGGAUCAACACCUGUGAAGGGAAAAGCAGAGGAAGAAGGGAAACUAUGAUGCAGGCCCUGCAAAACUGCAGCCCACCCAACGGGGAGCUCUGUAUUAAAUACGGAUUAUGGCAUCUUUCCCAAGAUCAGCCAAAAUGGCCAUGCUUGAUACCUGACCUUGUUCAUUCACUAAUGUGGGCUUACCCAGGAAGGGCAUGACUUCAGAGUGGAGAAUAACUGUGGUAUUCUGCAACAUACUGAAUGGGAAAGUAGCAUAAGAACAUGAUAACAAAGAGCCUUUCAUGCUGCAAGGGAGAGUAUUCCUGUUGGCACAGAGAACCUUCACUACUGGGACUGCUAAACUGCAAAUCUGUGAAAAGAAAGAUUUCUAUGUUCAGAAAUACUGGAUAUAUUUAAAAUAGUGUCACUUUAGUGUGUCUGUGGGUGUGGGUGUGGGGGGGGUGUGUGUGUGUGUAGACACACACAAUUUGCUUAUGUAUUUAUAUGUAUGUAUGAAUCCUUUAUUUAAAAUCUCUUUGGCUGGGUUUACAAAAGUUUGCUCUUCACUGGAGUGCUGAGUCUGUUUGUCUGAAAUACAAUAAACCAGGGCUUAUACUCAGGGAGCACACAUCAAGCAGCCAUACUACUUAUUAAAUAUCGAAAAUUUUUUCUACCAGUUGGGAAGUGGGAUAAUAAUAAACAUGAUAAGCACUAAAAUUAAUUAAUGAAUUCCAGCAUGUGUGGUUUUUCUCAGAAAUCAUACACCACUAUGAUUUCUAUAUAUUUUGUUUGUUUGUUUGUGUGGGCACUGGAGCAUAGAAUGGGUAGACCUGCUGAAGAGAUUCUGUUUUUUGUUUCAGGUGUUGAGGAAUUUCUUUCAGGUUCAAACAUUCUUGGCUAGAAGGAGAUCCACACAGACACAUUGAGGAGAAACCGAUAAUGAUCAUUCAGUUGUCUCCACACCAUUACUGGUUGGUUCCUGACUGGACUUUGAAAGGAGGCAACCAUCUUGCCCUUCUUGGGUGGAACAAAACUGACAAAAUAUGCAGAUUCUUAACUCAGCUGGGAUAUCUCAUAUCUUCUACCUUCUGACGGGGAUUUAUGCCCCUGGCUCCUCUCAGUCUCAGGCUUUUAGACUCAGACUGAAUUACAUCCUUGGCUUUCUUGGGUCUCCAGCUCUCCGAGGGCAGAUCGUGGGACUUCUCAGCUUUCGUAAUCAUGUGAGUCAAUUCCUCAUAAUAAAUCUCUUGUUUUGUGUGUGUGUGCAUAUAUAUACCUUUAGUAUAAAAAAAUUGAGGAAAAGCCACAACAGUAACAGCUGUAGCAUUUUAGGAACAUAUUUGAGUGGCUACUCCAUAGUUCCCUGUACAUUCUAACUAUUCAUCCGUUUAUAUGUACUAUUUCCUAAAUUUCUAUUAUACGUGGUUUUAAUUGCUUUCUCUUCUCUUUUUUUUCAUUUUAAUUUAUAUAAUAUGAAGCUAUAUGCAUUAUGGCUAUACAGUUCUUCAUAUGAAUGUUCUUUUUCUUUAUUCAGUUCUUCAGGCUUUCUAUAUAAAAUGUCUUGGCAUAGCUAAAUUAUUCCACAUUUCACUGCCUUUGAAAUUCCAAAAGGGGUUUCCUGUGCUCUGUUGGCUUUUCCCAAUUUCUUUCUUUUCUUUUUCUCCCAGAUUCUUCUGGGCAGUAAUAUCAAAUAACUAUGAGGACAUCUGAUACUUCCAGAGAGAGGAUUUUCUGUUAAAAAAAAAACUUUCUGGAAACAGGAAAUCAUUUUUAGUUGGCCACAUUCAGAGUUCCAAAGCUAAGAGCUUUGGAAAGUUUUAUUUUAUUGCUUUUUGAUGUUAGCAUAAUGUAGGCUCUCAUACUUAGGAUGUCUUUGGAAUUAUUACUUUAGAAAAUGAUAUACAUAAAUAUACUCUGCAGAAUGCAGCCUUAUGUAUGUACCAAUAGUUAUCACCUAUCUAUCUAUUAUCUAACUAUCAUCUAUCUAUCUAUCACCUUUUGUAAAAUAAACUAUGUAUGUUAAACAAUAGAACUAAAUGAGGCAAACAAACAAAACUGGAAUGAUAAUCAGUUAUAUACAACAUAAUAUGAAGGAAAUUAUUUUGGUACUCCAUGAAGAAUUGUUUUAAUAUAUAUUUAUUUUAUGUGUUUGCUUCUGAAUAUGCAAAUUAAUUUUAUAAAUUAUAAAAAGUUUAGAAGAAGACAAGGAAUAUAACAACACGAUUAUAAUGUAUUAGUUUUGUUCAUGUGGAGACAAUGAUAAUAGCACUACUUUGACCCAAGUAAUCUGAGUUUAAGUUAUAGAAUCUAUAGUAAACCCACUGAAAUAGAAUUAAACACAGGGAGUUGGAUAACAUUCCCUCUCCACUUUAUUUGCAUCUCUGUGUUCAAAAAUGUAAAUUGCCAAGCAACAGAAAGAAAAACUAGUGAAUUACCACUUUCACAAUGCUUUAUUUUGGGUUGCAUUGGGUAGGACUCAUGGAGAAGACUGAAACACAGGUUAAGUGCUCAUCAGUUUUGAAAAGUCCUUAGUUCAUUUUGUACAACUAUCUUGGAAAACUAAAAGAAAACCAAAAAUACAUCAACUUUUUUUUUUCUCUAUGUGCCAUGUGUCGUGAGGUACAUGAGGAAGAAUCACCACCUCCUCUGGUGACCUGAGUUUGGACCUGCCUAGGAGAGAGUGAAUGACUUCAUGCUGGAACACGCUGAGGCUGGAGCAUCCUGGCAGCAGAAGCAUCAUGGCUGCCCCUUUAAGGGAACAUGGAAUCCAGGGCAGUGGAAUCAGCUUCUAGGUUGUGAAAGUCUCCAAGGGGAACAUGAUGUACAGGCCAACUUCCAGAUGCUACUAGGGGGAAUGUUCAACAUGGUUAUUUAGAGAACUUCGCAGGGCAAGUGCCUCUCCUUACCCCACUGUAUGCUUCCUGUCACAGAGAUCCCAUCUAGAGUAUUCAUUAUUGUAUCUGAAGUACUUACAACACUAUAGAUUUUCAGUGAAUGAUUAAAGAAUAUAAUAAAUGUUAUAAACUGCCCUAUAAGGAUUGUCACACUGAGCAUUUCCAGCUUCAAAAGG